UACGUAGGGGGCAAGCGUUGUCCGGAUUUAUUGGGCGUAAAGCGCACGCAGGCGGUCUUUUACGUUUCGAGUGACAGGUGGGGGCUUAACUCCCACAGGCCUUGGAAAACGGGAAGACUUGAGGACGAGAGAGGGAUGCGGAAUUCCAGGUGGAGCGGUGAAAUGCGUAGAGAUCUGGAAGAACACCAAAGGCGAAGGCAGCAUCCUGGCUCGUAUCUGACGCUCAUGUGCGAAAGCUGAGGGAG
rnacentral:rRNA from 1 species